rfam:Flavobacterium branchiophilum FL-15, complete genome.
UUCUUGCGUGAGGGAUAGCAGUGGAAAUCCUUUUUUGUUUUUUUCUUUAAAAAACAAAAAAGAUUGAAACGAAUAGCCCGACCCGUA